rnacentral:tRNA from 2 species
GGGGUGGUAGUUCAGUUGGUUAGAACGCCUGCCUGUCACGCAGGAGGUCGAGGGUUCGAGUCCCUUCCAUCCCGCCA